AACGAACGCUGGCGGCAUGCCUAACACAUGCAAGUCGAGCGAGAACUUCGGUUCUAGCGGCGCACGGGUGCGUAACGCGUGGGAACGUGCCCUUCUCUACGGAAUAACUCCGGGAAACGGGGACUAAUACCGGAUACGCUCUUUUUGGGAAAGAUUUAUCGGAGAAGGAUCAGCCCGCGUUGGAUUAGGUAGUUGGUGGGGUAAUGGCCUACCAAGCCGACGAUCCAUAGCUGGUUUGAGAGGAUGAUCAGCCACACUGGGACUGAGACACGGCCCAGACUCCUACGGGAGGCAGCAGUGGGGAAUCUUAGACAAUGGGGGCAACCCUGAUCUAGCCAUGCCGCGUGAGUGAUGAAGGCCUUAGGGUUGUAAAGCUCUUUCAGCUGGGAAGAUAAUGACGGUACCAGCAGAAGAAGCCCCGGCUAACUCCGUG
rnacentral:rRNA from 1 species